CUCCCCAGCUUCCUAGUGAAAUGGGGUAUGUAUGUGUUUAGUAAGUAUCAGUUGAAUUGAUUCUGGUUACCCAGUUUAAGGAAUUGAGAGGCAUUUAUGGGACAGUUAGGUUCUCCCUGGUCACAUCCUUAACUGUGUACUGGAAACCACCCAGUUGAGCUUUGUUCCUUUUUUGUUAAUGGUUAUUUUUGCUUUCUGCCCUUAGCGUGGAUGAUUUGGCUCUGAGCAUAUAUCCACCUAUGUGCCACUUGACUGUGCGAAUCAAUUCUGCGAAACUUGUAUCUGUCUUAAAGAAGGCACUUGAAAUUACUAAAGCAAGUCAUGUGACCCCACAGCCAGAAGAUAGUUGGAUCCCUUUACUCAUUAAUGCCAUUGAUCAUUGCAUGAACAGAAUCAAGGAACUCACUCAGAAUGAACUUGAAUUGUGAGUUUUCAGACUCAUUUGUAGUCUCCUCUCUCCUUACUAUCACAGGUAGCCUCUGAUGUCUUCUUUUAAAAUGGGGCUAGAAUGCUCUCUGGAUCAAAAGGGAAUUCCUGCCCAAAUUUGUCAAGAGACAUUAUUACCAAAGAUUGUUGGUUAGGACAGACUGACAAUUAUUUAUAAACUAUACGAGUAUGUUAUCUUUUUCUGUGCUAGAUUCAGAUGGUAAUUGCAUGAGUUUGUGUUCCUGAAUCGCCUUUCAGAGAUUCGUGUAGAAGCUGCCUUAUUCCCUAUUUGCUAUAAAGUGUGUUUCAUUGUUAAACAUGUUGAUAGUCUUAAUAAAAUGCUGACCUGCCGAUAAUUCAA